AGAGUUUGAUCCUGGCUCAGAGUGAACGCUGGCGGUAGGCCUAACACAUGCAAGUCGAACGGCAGCACAGGAGAGCUUGCUCUCUGGGUGGCGAGUGGCGGACGGGUGAGGAAUACAUCGGAAUCUACCUUUUCGUGGGGGAUAACGUAGGGAAACUUACGCUAAUACCGCAUACGACCUACGGGUGAAAGUGGGGGACCGCAAGGCCUCACGCGAUUAGAUGAGCCGAUGUCCGAUUAGCUAGUUGGCGGGGUAAUGGCCCACCAAGGCGACGAUCGGUAGCUGGUCUGAGAGGAUGAUCAGCCACACUGGAACUGAGACACGGUCCAGACUCCUACGGGAGGCAGCAGUGGGGAAUAUUGGACAAUGGGCGCAAGCCUGAUCCAGCCAUACCGCGUGGGUGAAGAAGGCCUUCGGGUUGUAAAGCCCUUUUGUUGGGAAAGAAAUCCUAUCGGUUAAUAACCGGUGGGGAUGACGGUACCCAAAGAAUAAGCACCGGCUAACUUCGUGCCAGCAGCCGCGGUAAUACGAAGGGUGCAAGCGUUACUCGGAAUUACUGGGCGUAAAGCGUGCGUAGGUGGUGGUUUAAGUCUGCUGUGAAAGCCCUGGGCUCAACCUGGGAAUUGCAGUGGAUACUGGAUCACUAGAGUGUGGUAGAGGGAUGCGGAAUUUCUGGUGUAGCAGUGAAAUGCGUAGAUAUCUG
rnacentral:rRNA from 1 species